AUUCCAGCUCCAAUAGCGUAUAUUAAAGUUGUUGUGGUUAAAAAGCUCGUAGUUGGAUUUCGGCGGGUAUUGGUUGGUUUGAAUUGCUUCAACACUGACUUUUUUACCCGUGUGUUUUGCCAGAAUUUAGCGGGUGAUCUUCGCCGAUUGUCCGUUGGAACUGGUAGGUUUACUUUGAAAAAAUUAGAGUGCUCAAAGCAAGCUUACUGCUUGAAUAGUUGCGCAUGGAAUAAUAGAAUAGGAAGUCGUUUCUAUUUUGUUGGUUUUCGGAAAUCGACUUAAUGAUUAAUAGGGAUAGUUGGGGGUGCUAGUAUUGAGCGGCCAGAGGUGAAAUUCUUGGAUUUUGGAAAGAUGAACUACUGCGAAGGCAUUUACCAAGGAUGUUUUCAUUG
rnacentral:rRNA from 1 species